rnacentral:rRNA from 1 species
UACAGAGGUCUCAAGCGUUGUUCGGAUUCAUUGGGCGUAAAGGGCGCGUAGGCUGCGGGGCAAGUCGGGUGUGAAAUCUCAGAGCUCAACUCUGAAACUGCACUCGAUACUGCUCUGCUGGAGGACUGGAGAGGAGAUUGGAAUUCACGGUGUAGCAGUGAAAUGCGUAGAUAUCGUAAGGAAGACCAGUGGCGAAGGCGAAUCUCUGGACAGUUACUGACACUGAGGCACGAAGGCCAGGGGAGCAAACGGG